AACUUUUGGCAACGGAUCACUUGGCUCUCGCAUCGAUGAAGAACGCAGCGAAAUGCGAGAAGUAAUGUGAAUUGCAGAUUUUCAGUGAAUCAUCGAAUCUUUGAACGCACCUUGCGCUCCUUGGUAUUCCGAGGAGCAUGCCUGUUUGAGUGUCAUUAAAUUCUCAACUCCGAUUCGAUUUGUUUCGACCUCGGAGCUUGGACUUUGGAGCGUGCUGGCGUCGGUAGGCUCCUCUCAAAUGCAUCAGCGGAAUCUAACGUUUCGGACGUCAGUGUGAUAAUCACGUUGCGCUGUCGACCGAUCCUGAAAGCCCGCUCAUAAUGGUCUUCGGACAACUUCAUAUCAAAUUUGACCUCAAAUCAGGUAGGACUACCCGCUGAACUUAAGCAUAUCAAUAAGCGGAGGCU
rnacentral:misc_RNA from 1 species